AACGAACGCUGGCGGCGUGCCUAACACAUGCAAGUCGUGCGAGAAAGUUCCUUCGGGAGCGAGUAAAGCGGUGCACGGGUGAGUAACACGUAGGUAACCUGCCCCCCAGUCUGGAACAACUAGAGGAAACUCUAGCUAAUGCCGGAUGAGACCACGAUCCCUUCGGGGUUGCGGCCAAAGAUGGCCUCUACUUGUAAGCUAUCGCUGAGGGAUGGGCCUGCGGGCCAUUAGCUUGUUGGUGAGGUAACGGCUCACCAAGGCUGUGAUGGCUAGCUGGUCUGAGAGGAUGACCAGCCACACUGGGACUGAGACACGGCCCAGACUCCUACGGGAGGCAGCAGUGGGGAAUAUUGGACAAUGGGCGAAAGCCUGAUCCAGCAAUGCCGCGUGUGUGAAGAAGGCCUUAGGGUUGUAAAGCACUUUCAGUCGGGAGGAAAAACUUGAUGUUAAUAGCUUCAGGCUUGACGCUACCGGCAGAAGAAGCACCGGCUAACU
rnacentral:rRNA from 1 species